GGAGGGAUCAUCAAAGAAUAAUCUACCCAAGUGUCUGGGGGAGAGAGAGAGAGGGAAACCUUUCUUUUCCCCCGGCACUUCAAACAAACGAUCACAACUAUGCAUUUUUGUCUGGGGGGGGAGAAACAAGUGUUUGCCUGAUAAUUGGUUGACUUGAUCAUGCGAAAUAUAUCAUACAACUUUCAACAACGGAUCUCUUGGCUCUCACAUCGAUGAAGAACAUAGCAAAGUGUGAAAAUUAAUGUGAAUUGCAGAAUUCAGUGAAUCAUUGAGUUUUUGAACGCAUCUUGCACUCCUUGGUAUUCCAGGGAGUAUGCCUGGUUGAGUAAUGUGAACAUAUCUAUCAGUUUCUCUUGUUUGAGGGGACUGGAGUUGAGUGGUUUACCUUGCCUGGCCGCCUGUUUCUCUGGCUGGCGUCCAAUGGCGCUUUUAGAGAGGUAGAUGGGGGCGAAAGAGCAAGGUUCACUUGAAAUGAAAAGAGAGACAACAGGGCUUUUGAUGGGCGUAUUAUUAUUGUAUGUCAUCAUGGCAGUCAAAAGACAAGCGUGCGAGACCUUUUCCUCUCAUUGGGAGGAGAGGGGAUCCAAGAGGUUGGCUUGAUCAUAACAAUGACUUGAUGAAUGUGAGCGGAAACGUUCUUUCCAAGGUCUUGUUUAGAGCCUGCUUCUCUGUGAGUCUGAAGAUCUGUUUCAGCCUCGGGCUCUUUCCACAACUAGGAAAUGUGGGGGGCGGGCGUGUGUGCGCUAGUGAGAGAGCGGAACAGAUUCUCUGCAAUCCGCUCUGUGGAAACGGAACAGAUUCUCUGCAAUCCGCUCCCUCUCUCAUCAGCAACCAUCACACUGCUACCCACCACCACCAUCAUCAUCAUUCUCAACUCAGGCAAGACUACCCGCUGAAUUUAAGCAUAUAAAUAAGCGGAGGAAAAGAAACUAACAAGGAUUCCCUCAGUAACUGCGAGUGAAGCGGGAAAAGCUCAACUUUGAAAUCUACCAAGAGUAACAUUCUUGGUCGAAUUGUAGUUUCAAGAAAGAAUGGCUGAGCGGAAGUCAGUUGGAUGCAAGUUCCUUGGAAUGAGACAUCAGAGAGGGUGACAAUCCCGUUCACCGUCCUCCUGCCACUUCCCACCAAAGGCCUUCUUUUCAAAGAGUCGAGUUGUUUGGGAUUGCAGCUCAAAAUGGGUGGUAAAUUUCAUCUAAAGCUAAAUAUGGGUGAGAGACCGAUAGCGAACAAGUACCGUGAGGGAAAGAUGAAAAGCACUCUGAAGAGAGAGUGAAAAGUACGUGAAAUUGUUGAAAGGGAAACGCUUGAAACCAGUCAAGGCCUGCCAGAGGUCAGGAGAACGCGUGUGUGCCGGGCGGGGCUGGAGGCAGCGAUGGAUCUCUCAUGGUCGACGCUGCGCUGUUCCAGCUCGGCCGCGCUCUCUGCACGCUUCCGGCAGGCGAGUCAGCAUCAGUUUGGGACCCGGGAAAAAGCCAACAGGACCUGAUCAGGCACCCAGCGAGCCCUUUUCGGCUCCUGGGCGUCUGAGCCUGCUUGGCAUCAUACCGGGCCUGGCCAGACUGAGGACCGCAGCACAGGGCAUUGCCUUGGACAGACUGGCUUGCGGGGCCGCCUCGAGCAAACAGCCUGCUGAUUGCUCGGGGCGCAGCCACCCGAGAACUGUCCUAUCCAAGCAGGCCCCUGGCUCUGGAUGUUGACGAAAUGGUUUUAAACGACCCGUCUUGAAACACGGACCAAGGAGUCUAACAUGGAUGCAAGUAUUUGGGUGCUUGGAAACCCAGGUGCGCAAUGAAAGUGAACUCUUGAUGGGUAGGACGCCGGCAGGGGAGAAUUUUCCCCCCGCCGGCCGCACUAUCGACCAAUCUUUACUAGCUUCGGCUUGCUAGAUUUGAGUAAGAGCAUGCAUGCUGGGACCCGAAAGAUGGUGAACUAUGCCUGAAUAGGGUGAAGUCAGACGAAAGUCUGAUGGAAGCUCGCAGCGAUUCUGACGUGCAAAUCGAUCGUCGAAUUUGGGUAUAGGGGCGAAAGACUAAUCGAACCAUCUAGUAGCUGGUUCCUGC
rnacentral:misc_RNA from 1 species